UAAGCAUGCAAGUCGAACGGUAGAGAGGUGCUUGCACCUCUUGAGAGUGGCGAACGGGUGAGUAACACGUAGGUAAUCUGCCCUGAGGCUGGGGAUAGCCCAUGGAAACAUGGAGUAAUACCGAAUAGAUCUUUUCUCCCACAAGGGGGAGAAGGGAAAGGCGCUGAGGCGCCACCUCAGGAUGA
rnacentral:rRNA from 1 species